rnacentral:rRNA from 1 species
GACAGAGGGGGCAAGCGUUGCUCGGAAUCACUGGGCGUAAAGGGCGCGUAGGCGGGAUGGCAAGUCAGUCGUGAAAUCUCUCGGCUCAACCGAGAAACGUCGGCUGAUACUGCCGUUCUUGAGGGAUGCAGAGGAGACUGGAAUUCCCGGUGUAGCGGUGAAAUGCGUAGAUAUCGAGAGGAACACCUGCGGCGAAGGCGGGUUGCUGGGCUGACACUGACGCUGGAGGCGCGAAAGCUAGGGGAGCGAACGGG